rnacentral:rRNA from 1 species
UACGGGGGGGGCAAGCGUUGUUCGGAAUUACUGGGCGUAAAGGGCUCGUAGGUGGCCAACUAAGUCAGACGUGAAAUCCCUCGGCUUAACCGGGGAACUGCGUCUGAUACUGGAUGGCUUGAGUUUGGGAGAGGGAUGCGGAAUUCCAGGUGUAGCGGUGAAAUGCGUAGAUAUCAGGAGGAACACCGAUGGCGAAGGCAGGUCUCUGGGCCACUACUGACGCUGAGAAGCGAAAGCAUGGGGAGCGAACAGG